AUGCUCACUUUGGCAGCACAUAUACUAAAAUUGGAAUGAUACAGUGAAGAUUAGCAUGGUCCCUACACAAAGAUGACAUCAAAUUCAUGAAGUAUCCCAUAUUUUU
rnacentral:snRNA from 1 species